UGCAAGUCGAACGGCAGCGCGGGGCAACCUGGCGGCGAGUGGCGAACGGGUGAGUAAUAUAUCGGAACGUACCCAGGAGUGGGGGAUAACGUAGCGAAAGUUACGCUAAUACCGCAUACGAUCUACGGAUGAAAGCAGGGGACCGCAAGGCCUUGUGCUCGUGGAGCGGCCGAUAUCUGAUUAGCUAGUUGGUAGGGUAAAGGCCUACCAAGGCAUCGAUCAGUAGCUGGUCUGAGAGGACGGCCAGCCUCACUGGGACUGAGACACGGCCCAGACUCCUACGGGAGGCAGCAGUGGGGAAUUGUUCGCGAUGGGCGCAAGCCUGACGACGCAACGCCGCGUGGAGGAUGAAGACCUUCGGGUCGUAAACUCCUUUCGAUCGAGACAAAUGGCCUCCGGGUGAACAAUCCGGAGGAGUGACGGUACCGAGAGAAGAAGCCCCGGCUAACUCCGUGCCAGCAGCCGCGGUAAUAUGGGGGGGGCAAGCGUUGUUCGGAAUUACUGGGCGUAAAGGGCUCGUAGGCGGCCAACUAAGUCAGACGUGAAAUCCCUCGGCUUAACCGGGGAACUGCAUCUGAUACUGGAUGGCUUGAGUUCGGGAGAGGGAUGCGGAAUUCCAGGUGUAGCGGUGAAAUGCGUAGAUAUCUGGAGGAACACCGGUGGCGAAGGCGGCAUCCUGGACCGACACUGACGCUGAGGAGCGAAAGCCAGGGG
rnacentral:rRNA from 1 species